rnacentral:rRNA from 2 species
GGAGCGUUCUGUAAGCCUGCGAAGGUGUGCUGUGAGGCAUGCUGGAGGUAUCAGAAGUGCGAAUGCUGACAUAAGUAACGAUAAAGCGGGUGAAAAGCCCGCUCGCCGGAAGACCAAGGGUUCCUGUCCAACGUUAAUCGGGGCAGGGUGAGUCGACCCCUAAGGCGAGGCCGAAAGGCGUAGUCGAUGGGAAACAGGUUAAUAUUCCUGUACUUGGUGUUACUGCGAAGGGGGGACGGAGAAGGCUAUGUUGGCCGGGCGACGGUUGUCCCGGUUUAAGCGUGUAGGCUGGUUUUCCAGGCAAAUCCGGAAAAUCAAGGCUGAGGCGUGAUGACGAGGCACUACGGUGCUGAAGCAACAAAUGCCCUGCUUCCAGGAAAAGCCUCUAAGCAUCAGGUAACAUCAAAUCGUACCCCAAACCGACACAGGUGGUCAGGUAGAGAAUACCAAGGCGCUUGAGAGAACUCGGGUGAAGGAACUAGGCAAAAUGGUGCCGUAACUUCGGGAGAAGGCACGCUGAUAUGUAGGUGAAGUCCCUUGCGGAUGGAGCUGAAAUCAGUCGAAGAUACCAGCUGGCUGCAACUGUUUAUUAAAAACACAGCACUGUGCAAACACGAAAGUGGACGUAUACGGUGUGACGCCUGCCCGGUGCCGGAAGGUUAAUUGAUGGGGUCAGCGCAAGCGAAGCUCUUGAUCGAAGCCCCGGUAAACGGCGGCCGUAACUAUAACGGUCCUAAGGUAGCGAAAUUCCUUGUCGGGUAAGUUCCGACCUGCACGAAUGGCGUAAUGAUGGCCAGGCUGUCUCCACCCGAGACUCAGUGAAAUUGAACUCGCUGUGAAGAUGCAGUGUACCCGCGGCAAGACGGAAAGACCCCGUGAACCUUUACUAUAGCUUGACACUGAACAUUGAGCCUUGAUGUGUAGGAUAGGUGGGAGGCUUUGAAGUGUGGACGCCAGUCUGCAUGGAGCCGGCCUUGAAAUACCACCCUUUAAUGUUUGAUGUUCUAACGUGGACCCGUGAUCCGGGUUGCGGACAGUGUCUGGUGGGUAGUUUGACUGGGGCGGUCUCCUCCUAAAGAGUAACGGAGGAGCACGAAGGUUGGCUAAUCCUGGUCGGACAUCAGGAGGUUAGUGCAAUGGCAUAAGCCAGCUUGACUGCGAGCGUGACGGCGCGAGCAGGUGCGAAAGCAGGUCAUAGUGAUCCGGUGGUUCUGAAUGGAAGGGCCAUCGCUCAACGGAUAAAAGGUACUCCGGGGAUAACAGGCUGAUACCGCCCAAGAGUUCAUAUCGACGGCGGUGUUUGGCACCUCGAUGUCGGCUCAUCACAUCCUGGGGCUGAAGUAGGUCCCAAGGGUAUGGCUGUUCGCCAUUUAAAGUGGUACGCGAGCUGGGUUUAGAACGUCGUGAGACAGUUCGGUCCCUAUCUGCCGUGGGCGCUGGAGAACUGAGGGGGGCUGCUCCUAGUACGAGAGGACCGGAGUGGACGCAUCACUGGUGUUCGGGUUGUCAUGCCAAUGGCACUGCCCGGUAGCUAAAUGCGGAAGAGAUAAGUGCUGAAAGCAUCUAAGCACGAAACUUGCCCCGAGAUGAGUUCUCCCUGACCCUUUAAGGGUCCUGAAGGAACGUUGAAGACGACGACGUUGAUAGGCCGGGUGUGUAAGCGCAGCGAUGCGUUGAGCUAACCGGUACUAAUGAACCGUGAGGCUUAACCUU